rnacentral:rRNA from 1 species
UACGUAGGGGGGCAAGCGUUGUCCGGAUUUAUUGGGCGUAAAGAGCGUGUAGGCGGCUUUGCAAGUCCGUUGUGAAAACUCGAGGCUCAACCUCGAGACGCCGGUGGAAACUGCAAAGCUAGAGUCCGGAAGAGGAGAGUGGAAUUCCUGGUGUAGCGGUGAAAUGCGCAGAUAUCAGGAAGAACACCCGUGGCGAAGGCGGCUCCUCUGGGACGGUACUGACGCUGAGACGCGAAAGCGUGGGAGCGAACAGG